GAAUUUGGGGGAAGGGGAAGGUUGGCAAUGAUGUAAACACAGUAUUCCUGUAUGAGAGCCUAGAAAAUUUCAAUAAAAAGUCUGUUUUGAGACAGGUUAAAACUAUAGUAAUCCAAUAUUACACUAUCCAUAAAUAAAAUCUUACAGGGAUGCAACUGUGCUUAUUUGUUCUUGCGUUGUUCCUAUUGCAAUGGUAGAAGAGAAUACUUGCAAAAAAAAAAAAAUCAAAUAAUUUGCAAACCUUAAAUGCCUGUUAAGCAUUUAAAGAAAAAUGUGGGCCAACCAAUCCCAUACCCAAGCCAUCCAGUGGUCUUUUUACCUGUGUAAGAUUCUGUGAGAGAGAAAGGUUUUGCCUUUUGGCUGGAUGUUCUCAAUUCAUUUCCCUUGCUGUGACAGAUAUCUUGAAGAGAAGCAACAUUAGAAGAAAAGAUUUAUGCAGCUUGCAGUUCUAAGUUGCCAUCCAUCAUAACAAAGAAGUCACAGAGGCAAGUCUUUGAGACAACUCAUCACACCAUAGUCAAGAGCAGAGAAAAAUCAAUGCAUCCAUGCUGUCUGCUUGUUUGCUUGUUCAGCAGACUUUUCUUCACUCCUAUACAGUUCAGGGCCAAGCCUGGGGAAUGGUGCUGCCCACAGUUGGCUGGGGAAUUAACAAUCAAAGGAAUUCCCCACAGUCAUGCCCUAACAACUCAACCUAAUCUAGAUAAUUACUAACUGUCAUAAUAAAGAUCAUUGUCACCAUCAAAGCAGACUGCAGUGUUAGAAAAUAAGCAGGCUGUGGGGUGGAAAUAGAGAGCCUAGGGAAGGUGGAGUGAGUGGGUGCCUUUGCUGACCACGAAGGUGUUUGGAGAGUAGGGUAGGAAGAUGUAAGUUUAUCCGUGGCAGAGAAAACAGAUAAGCCUUUUCUGUUCUUGAUGAGCAGAUAGUACUCAUAAUAUCUGCUUUAUUUUACAGCCUAGUUAAAUGUAUCUGUUGUCACAUCUCUCAGCAAGAGGGGAUUUUCUAAAUGUUCUUGUUUACAAAUGCGCAGAAGAUUUUUGCACAUAAAGUCAUGCUUUUGUUGGCCAAAGAGAAUGAGCACUUGCUGGUUCUCUGGCAAUCCUAACAAAAAUACUGAAGUGUAUUUAUACUCCGGGGCCAAGACGCAUUUCAAAAUGACGCUGCUCAGAUACAUGAUCAACCUUCCUCUUCUGUCUCCACUGGGCUCAACCACAGUGUCAGAGCCUUUCUUCCGAAAUCUACUCCUACAAGUAUGUUAGCUGAUGCUCACUGCAAUCAGUCACAUAAACACAAAGAGGCUUCCCUGCUGGGAUGCUCUGUGGAUUGCUCACCAACCACUGAGGGAAGUAAGCAACCCAAAUCUACUGAAAAUAUUGCUCAAAAUUGGCUUUUCAAACACUUUUUUUUCUUGUAUUUUACAGUGUGGUUUUUAUCAACAUCACGUAACAGUCACGAAAUAUUUGUUUCUCAUUUUUUUUGAAAUGUAAUGAUAUUCAGGACUGAAUUACAAAUCACACACAGGAGCUUAGUCAUGGCUCUUUACACAAGGCAAAAGACAAGGAGGUGGUUAAAUGCAAGUAACUUCUGGCUAUCUGUGCCAAUGGGAGAAGCAGAUACUCUACUAAUAAAAAUCCACCCAGAAACAACUAGAAUGCGUUGCCUCAUAGUUUAGACUAUCCUUUUCUGGGGUGAUUAUUCAACAGUUGUUAAGAAACAGCUUCAUUCAUCUCAAUUCAGCAUUUAUUCUUUAUCUCCACGGUAACCAUCUAAGAUAAUUCUGUGGUCUUAACUUUUUAGUAGGUACUUCCAGGAGACCCAGUGGCAUCCCUGCAUGUUACCCACAUUUGGCAGUUGUUGCCACAAGAUAUGUGUUUUGCUGUCUCCCCCUCCAAUCUGUUUAAGGCCCUCUCACACAUCAGCCUUGAUGCCUCUCUGUCAAAUUCUGUGGGACGUGGCAGAGGCUUCACAGUUCCAGAGGGUACUGCACAGAACAUCGGCAGUCACAGUCAAGAGUGAUGGGUGAGAGAUUUGCAUUCAAAUCCCAGGUUCACCACUGUCCACCAGGAAGUUUCCUACUCAGUGUGUGCAUCUAUAAAAUGGCCCAAAUGAUGUCUGUCUAGUACAUAGGGAUGCCAUAAGGAUCUCAAAGAGAAUUUAAGGAAAUGUAUUUUGACGUGACUACCCAUAGUCAAGCAUUCAUUAAAUGGCUAAU
rnacentral:lncRNA from 1 species